AAUAGAUACCCCGGUAGUCACGCCGUAAACGAUGAGUGCUAAGUGUUGGGGGGUUUCCGCCCCUCAGUGCUGCAGCUAACGCAUUAAGCACUCCGCCUGGGGAGUACGGUCGCAAGACUGAAACUCAAAGGAAUUGACGGGGGGCCCGCACAAGCGGUGGAGCAUGUGGUUUAAUUCGAAGCAACGCGAAGAACCUUACCAGGUCUUGACAUCCCGGUGACCACUAUGGAGACAUAGUUUCCCCUUCGGGGGCAACGGUGACAGGUGGUGCAUGGUUGUCGUCAGCUCGUGUCGUGAGAUGUUGGGUUAAGUCCCGCAACGAGCGCAACCCUUAUUCUUAGUUGCCAUCAUUCAGUUGGGCACUCUAAGGAGACUGCCGGUGAUAAACCGGAGGAAGGUGGGGAUGACGUCAAAUCAUCAUGCCCCUUAUGACCUGGGCUACACACGUGCUACAAUGGACGGUACAAACGGUUGCCAACCCGCGAGGGGGAGCUAAUCCGAUAAAACCGUUCUCAGUUCGGAUUGUAGGCUGCAACUCGCCUACAUGAACG
rnacentral:rRNA from 1 species